AAUACGUCCUCUUUGAAGAAACGGGCCUAAACGUUUUAGGUUUCAAGCCUGGAACUGCAGCACCAAGAGAAGUCAAGAAACAGCUACCCAGGGGGAAGAGAGGGAGAGAGAGAGAACCGCCCUUUCACUUUGAAGGAGCAGAUGAUCGCAUCAACUUUAGCAAACUGUCUUCAUUUCUCGAUCAUGUAUUACAGAUUUUCCGUAGAAAUGGAAGAAGGAAGAGGACCCAAAGAAGGGGAAGGCGGGAAGGGGAUGGUUGAGGAUCAGCGAAGAAGACCCAAUCCUUUGUCUUGCAGGUGACGCUUCUGUACAUUUUAAAACUAUCACUGAUUGCUAUUUUAAAGUGGGUUUCCAAUUACGAGAUUCUAGCCCUUAGGUUUUCGAUUGAUUUCCCUUUAAGAAGCAAAGGGUUUGGACAGAAGAUCAAUCUUUUAGUAUGGUUUUGUGGAAUCUUCAUCUUCACUGUUUUACCCAUGUCAGAAUGCUCUUGCCAGCAUUUUAUGCAGAUUCGAGUUUGAGUGUAUCAUUUGAAUCUGAUAUAAAGUUGAAUGGGCUGAUGGCUGAAGGAGAUUUGUAGAGCUCUGGUGUUCUCUUUUCUGGAUGUCAGCUGAGGAGGAAGUCUCAUUGGGACUACUUGAUUUUUGGUCUUGUUAGGUGAUAUUGUUCUACUUCACUGGGUUCUUCAUCCAAGAUGAAGACACUUCCUGUAUUUUUACCAUGUGGAGGAUCUUUAUGUUGGUUCGAUGCAAAAGCUAUAUCUGAUAGGGUUGAUGAAGUUAUGCCUGAAAUGGCUAGUUUUCAGGACUAUUUAGGGAUCAUCAUACGAAAGCUGGGGAAGAGCAGUGGCACCUUGGACAAAAUGAAUAUUUCCGAAGCUCAGAUCAUAUGAAGUUUUUGUGAAGGCGGUAAUCCAGACUCUAUACAAUGCUUAUAUAUCUUAAGACAGAUUCGACUACCUCCAGUUAACAGGUUCAGGAACAGUACGAUGAGGGAAGACUCCUUGAUUAGCUAUUUCAGAGUUCAGACUGGGGAGAUUUGGAAAUAUAUAACCCCAAAAGGAAACAGAGUCACGAAGAUCAAUAUUUAUGAUACAGAGGAUUUAUAACACAACAGGGCAUGCUUGUGUUUUGAUGGAGAAUGAACGAGAAGAGUAUGUGAACUACAACAUUGAAUCUUCUUGCAAAGAUGACUGGAACAACCUAGUUCAUAAGCUCAUGUUUGAAGGUUGUGAUCCUUUGCCCAGGAGACGGUGGUUGACAAGGGCCUCAUAACUCUUAUCAGUAGCCCUUCCCAAUCAGUGAGACCCUUUGGAAAUUACAGGAGGAUAGAAAUUUACAGUGGAGCAAUUAUCAGUGCAAGAAAUAUGGCUACUUGUCCAGGCGGGGUUAUAGCAAGUGCAAUGGAUGCUCUGAAAUGGAGGAGGAAAUGGUUAAUUGAGGCUGUAAUGGUGCACUUCCAGUAGAUUUUCUGUAAGUGAUGUUUUAGCAGUCAAACCUGGGGAGAUUAGGUCUGGACUUUGGUGUUGGCACAGGGACUUUUGCUGGAAGGAUGAGUAAACAAAAUGUGACAAUUAUGACUGCUCUAAACCUUGGGGCACCACCCAUUCAAUGAGAUGAUUGCUUAUGGAGAUCUGGUUCCUUUGUAUGUGACACUGAGUCGGUGGCUUCCUUUCUUUGACAACACAAUGGAGUUGAUUUAUACAACUGGGUUUUUGGAUGGAUGGAUUGAUCUUAAAAUCGAUGGAUUUCAUCUUGUUUGAUUGGGAUCGGUCAGAUUUUAAGGCCUUAAGGAUUGUUGUGGAUAGACCGCUCUUUUGCAGCAGAAGGGACCUGGAUGACUACAUUUACAUGUUUUUGCAGUUAGGCUGUAAAAACCACAACCGGGUUGUCUCACCUAAAUGAAAGGAAGAUGUUUAUCUUUCUGCAUUGCUGGAGAAACCACCUAGGGCAUGAUGAUUCUAGUCCUUCUUGUUGAUGUCUCUUCAUCUCACUUGUUAGGAACUCAUCAUCUUUGCCGUCAAUAUCGUCUGCAGUGAGUGGUGAGGUGCAAUAAGCAUCCAACGGUUGGGGUGCAUGGCCGUGCCCUCGCAGCCAUUGGAUGCUCACUGCACCUCACUGUUCGCUGUAGACAAUUUGGACUCAUCUUUGUGGCCUCUGCAUAAUCUUUUUUUUAGAUAUUCUUUGAUCUUUCACUAGGUUUUUGGUCCUCUAAACAAUGUUUGGGAAUACAAAGCCUGGAGAGUGGCAUUUUUCUAUUCUAAGCAAGUGCUCUUGAUAUUACUUGUCAGCUUUGUCAUUGUAACAGACAAACAUCCAAGUGCACACAUUUUGGGUUGCAAUUUCACACCAAA